rnacentral:rRNA from 1 species
CCUACGGGAGGCAGCAGUGAGGAAUAUUGGUCAAUGGACGAGAGUCUGAACCAGCCAAGUAGCGUGAAGGAUGACUGCCCUAUGGGUUGUAAACUUCUUUUAUAAAGGAAUAAAACGAGGCACGUGUGCCUUUUUGCAUGUACUUUAUGAAUAAGGAUCGGCUAACUCCGUGCCAGCAGCCGCGGUAAUACGGAGGAUCCGAGCGUUAUCAGGAUUUAUUGGGUUUAAAGGGAGCGUAGAUGGGUUGUUAAGUCAGUUGUGAAAGUUUGCGGCUCAACCGUAAAAUUGCAAUUGAUACUGGCAGUCGUGAGUACAGUUGAGGUAGGAGGAAUUCGUGGUGUAGCGGUGAAAUGCUUAGAUAGUACGAAGAACCCCGAUUGCGAAGGCAGCUUACUAAACUGUGACUGACAUUGAUGCUCGAAAGUGUGGGUAUCAAACAGGAUUAGAUACCCUUGUAGUC